rnacentral:rRNA from 1 species
CCUACGGGUGGCAGCAGUGGGGGAUAUUGCACAAUGGGGGAAACCCUGAUGCAGCGACGCCGCGUGUGGGAAGACGGUCCUCUGGAUUGUAAACCACUGUCCCCAGGGACGAAGAUGACGGUACCGGGGGAGGAAGCUCCGGCUAACUACGUGCCAGCAGCCGCGGUAAUACGUAGGGAGCGAGCGUUGUCCGGAAUUACUGGGUGAAAAGGGCUCGUAGGCGGGACUGCAAGUUGGGUGUCAAAUCUACCGGCUCAACCGGUAGCCGGACUCAAAACUGCAGUUCUUGAGUGAAGUAGAGGCAGGCGGAAUUCCUAGGGUAGCGGUGAAAUGCGUAGAUAUUAGGAGGAACACCAGUGGCGAAGGCGGCCUGCUGGGCUUUUACUGACGCUGAGGAUCGAAAGUGUGGGGAGCAAACAGGAUUAGAUACCCUGGUAGUC